UACGUAGGGUGCAAGCGUUGCCCGGAUUUAUUGGGCGUAAAGGGCGCGUAGGCGGCUCUGCACGUUCGUUGUGAAAGCCCCCGGCUCAACUGGGGAGGGUCACUCGAUACUGAUCGACUCGAAGGCAGGAGAGGGAAGCGGAAUUCCCGGUGUAGUGGUGAAAUGCGUAGAUAUCGGGAGGAACACCAGUGGCGAAGGCGGCUUUCUGGCCUGCUCUUGACGCUGAGGCGCGAAAGCUAGGGUAGCAAGCGGG
rnacentral:rRNA from 1 species